GAUGAACGCUAGCUACAGGCUUAACACAUGCAAGUCGAGGGACCGGCGCACGGGUGAGUAACACGUAUCCAACCUGCCCUUUACUCGGGGAUAGCCUUUCGAAAGAAAGAUUAAUACCCGAUAAAAAGGUUGGGGAUGCGUUCCAUUAGGUUGUUGGUGGGGUAACGGCCAACCAAGCCUUCGAUGUUUAGGGGUUCGGAGAGGAAGGUCCCCCACAUUGGAACUGAGACACGGUCCAAACUCCUACGGGAGGCAGCAGUGAGGAAUAUUGGUCAAUGGGCGGUAGCCUGAACCAGCCAAGUAGCGUGAAGGAUGAAGGCUUAUGGGUCGUAAACUUCUUUUAUAUAAGAAUAUGUAUUAUAUGAAUAAGGAUCGGCUAACUCCGUGCCAGCAGCCGCGGUAAUUC
rnacentral:rRNA from 1 species